rnacentral:rRNA from 1 species
UGCAAGUCGAACGGUAACAGGUGUAGCAAUACACGCUGACGAGUGGCGCACGGGUGCGUAACACGUAUGCAACCUACCCACCACCGGGGGAUAACCCUGAGAAAUUAGGGCUAAUACCCCAUGGUAUCGAGAAACGGCAUCGUUUUUUGAUUAAAGAUUGAUCGGUGAUGGAUGGGCAUGCGCCCCAUUAGCUAGUUGGUGAGGUAACGGCUCACCAAGGCGACGAUGGGUAGGGGACCUGAGAGGGUUAUCCCCCACACUGGUACUGAGACACGGACCAGACUCCUACGGGAGGCAGCAGUAAGGAAUAUUGGACAAUGGGCGAGAGCCUGAUCCAGCAAUUCCGCGUGUAUGAAGAAGGCUUUCGGGUUGUAAAGUACUUUCAGCAGGGAAGAAGCAAGUGACGGUACCUGCAGAAGAAGCCACGGCUAAUUACGUGCCAGCAGCCGCGGUAAUACGUAAGUGGCAAGCGUUAUCCGGAAUCACUGGGCGUAAAGGGCAUCUAGGCGGCUAUGCAAGUCAGGGGUGAAAAGUCUGGGCUUAACCGAGGCCUUGCCUUUGAAACUGUAUAGCUAGAAUCCGGGAGAGGAGGGCGGAACUACAAGUGUAGCGGUGAAAUGCGUAGAUAUUUGUAGGAAUGCCAAUGACGAAGGUAGCUCUCUGGACCGGUAUUGACGCUGAAGUGCGAAAGCUAGGGGAGCAAACAGGAUUAGAUACCCUGGUAGUCCUAGCUGUAAACGAUGAUCACUGGGUGUGGGGGGUCCAACCUCUGUGCCGAAGCUAACGCGAUAAGUGAUCCGCCUGGGGAGUACGUCCGCAAGAAUGAAACUCAAAGGAAUUGACGGGGACCCGCACAAGCGGUGGAGCAUGUGGUAUAAUUCGACGCAACGCGAGGAACCUUACCAGGUCUUGACAUCGUACGAAUCUAGUAGAGAUAUGGGAGUGCCCUUCGGGAACCUGGAGACAGGGUGCUGCAUGGCUUGUCGUCAGCUUCGUGUCGUGAGAUGUUUGGGUUAAGUCCCC